rnacentral:lncRNA from 1 species
UCUUUGUGUAUUUUCAAUCUAUACUGUUUAGUCCAUUUUUGGAAAUAUACUUUCGUCGUGGAUUGGUUCACUGCGCCAUUGUACUUUUGUGCUAUGGCUAUUUUUGUAAUCUUGUUUUUCAUUUUUUCUUAUGUACUUUGAUUAUAGAGUAUCUAAAUGCCUUUUGGUUUUUCUUUUGCUGAAAUAUACUGAUGAACUCCAACUUAUGACAUCUUUAUUCAUUUUGUCUGCUUGUUUUGUUCACACAUUGAUGCCAAUGUUGUGGAAUUUUAUGCGACUGUCAUAUACUAUAGGUGGGAGGUGUAGUUGCUACAAAAUCAGGUUUAAUCCACCAUUUUCUUCAUAAUGACAUGCCUGUACCAUGUCAGGAUUAUUACAGUUAUUAUCCAUUCGUUUGAUGUAUUGGAGCGUUUGAUUUUGCCAUUGUUAAAUUACUUAGUCUUUCCGUUUGGAAUUGUCCUGAUAGUUCGGUAAUUUUGUUUUUUUCAAUUAUUAUGUCAUAACUAAACCACUCGUUUGAGUCAAUAUAUAUUGGGUUUAUAUGGGGUUUUUCUUUGAAAGGCUCAUAAGCUCCAUCCUGGUAUUAGUUGGAAUGCUUUUG